rnacentral:rRNA from 1 species
AUUGAACGCUGGCGGCAGGCCUAACACAUGCAAGUCGAACGGUAACAGGAAGAAGCUUACUUCUUUGCUGACGAGUGGCGGACGGGUGAGUAAUGUCUGGGAAACUGCCUGAUGGAGGGGGAUAACUACUGGAAACGGUAGCUAAUACCGCAUAACGUCGCAAGACCAAAGAGGGGGACCUUCGGGCCUCUUGCCAUCGGAUGUGCCCAGAUGGGAUUAGCUAGUAGGUGGGGUAGCGGCUCACCUAGGCGACGAUCCCUAGCUGGUCUGAGAGGAUGACCAGCCACACUGGAACUGAGACACGGUCCAGACUCCUACGGGAGGCAGCAGUGGGGAAUAUUACACAAUGGGCGCAAGCCUGAUGCAGCCAUGCCGCGUGUAUGAAGAAGGCCUUCGGGUUGUAAAGUACUUUCAGCGGGGAGGAAGGGAGUAAAGUUAAUACCUUUGCUCAUUGACGUUACCCGCAGAAGAAGCACCGGCUAACUCCGUG